rnacentral:lncRNA from 1 species
CUGAAAAUCUGUUUUAGCAGAAAUUUUUUGUGCAAAUUUUUAUACUAAUUUAAUACCUAAUUAUGUAUAGAUUUAAAUCUACUUUGAUAGAUUUCUUGUGAUAUAAUUCAAUUAAAGAAUUGAUGUUUGAAUCAGGCUCAUAUCUGAAUUUAUUUGAUAAAGUUUCAGAUCUAAUUUCAGCAUAAUAUUUGUGUAUGUUUAAUCACAUCUCUAACUAGAAUUUUUCUAUGCAAUCAUACAUAUAUUUGGAAUAGAUUUCUAUAUUAUUUUAGAUC